GGACUCUCUUUAUACUCUUGUUUAACACAGAUCUGAGCCUCAAUGCACUGGUCUCUUUGUCAAUUUAAACUGAGGGGUAGUAUUACCAGCUUCAGGGUACUAUAAGAAUGAGGCUAACAGGGAGUUUGAGGAUUUUCGUUGAAAGGGUGGUUGCCUCUCUCUGCAUUCAGUCAAUGAUUUCUCCAUUAUUGUAAGAAUCCCAACAACCCUCUCAUAAUUUUUAAACAGAGGAAGUAUAUGAUUAUCAACUUUUGUUUGAAAUGGGUUUCUAUAUGCCCUUCCAACUCUUUUUUCCAUCUUUUUUUUAAUGCUUCCACUGGAUCAUUGAUUGUUGCCACUGGAGCUGGUGGAAGCAAUGGUGCUGAGAAUAAUUGGACAGCUUGAAAGAGGCAAUGAUGAUUUUUGCCAAUGUUUAUUCCCUUCUGAGCUGAUUAAUUGAGCAUUGGAGGUUAUCCGACCUGUAUCUUGGCGGGGCAUGCUGGUUUUUGCA
rnacentral:misc_RNA from 1 species